GCUAGUAAUCAUAGGUCAGCAUACUAUGGUGAAUACGUUCCCGGGCCUUGUACACACCGCCCGUCACACCAUGAGAGUUGGGAAUACCCGAAGCCCAUGUCAAAGUGGUCGAAGGUAGGCUUGAUGAUUGGGGUGAAGUCGUAACAAGGUAGC
rnacentral:rRNA from 1 species